GCCGGUAUAGCUCAGUAGGUAGAGCAACUGACUUGUAAUCAGUAGGUCCCGGGUUCGACUCCUGGUGCCGGCA
rnacentral:tRNA from 1 species